rnacentral:rRNA from 1 species
GAUGAACGCUGGCGGCGUGCCUAAUACAUGCAAGUCGAGCGAACGGACGAGAAGCUUGCUUUUCUGAUGUUAGCGGCGGACGGGUGAGUAACACGUGGAUAACCUACCUAUAAGACUGGGAUAACUUCGGGAAACCGGAGCUAAUACCGGAUAAUAUUUUGAACCGCAUGGUUCAAAAGUGAAAGACGGUCUUGCUGUCACUUAUAGAUGGAUCCGCGCUGCAUUAGCUAGUUGGUAAGGUAACGGCUUACCAAGGCAACGAUGCAUAGCCGACCUGAGAGGGUGAUCGGCCACACUGGAACUGAGACACGGUCCAGACUCCUACGGGAGGCAGCAGUAGGGAAUCUUCCGCAAUGGGCGAAAGCCUGACGGAGCAACGCCGCGUGAGUGAUGAAGGUCUUCGGAUCGUAAAACUCUGUUAUUAGGGAAGAACAUAUGUGUAAGUAACUGUGCACAUCUUGACGGUACCUAAUCAGAAAGCCACGGCUAACUACGUGCCAGCAGCCGCGGUAAUACGUAGGUGGCAAGCGUUAUCCGGAAUUAUUGGGCGUAAAGCGCGCGUAGGCGGUUUUUUAAGUCUGAUGUGAAAGCCCACGGCUCAACCGUGGAGGGUCAUUGGAAACUGGAAAACUUGAGUGCAGAAGAGGAAAGUGGAAUUCCAUGUGUAGCGGUGAAAUGCGCAGAGAUGUGGAGGAACACCAGUGGCGAAGGCGACUUUCUGGUCUGUAACUGACGCUGAUGUGCGAAAGCGUGGGGAUCAAACAGGAUUAGAUACCCUGGUAGUCCACGCCGUAAACGAUGAGUGCUAAGUGUUAGGGGGUUUCCGCCCCUUAGUGCUGCAGCUAGCGCAUUAAGCACUCCGCCUGGGGAGUACGACCGCAAGGUUGAAACUCAAAGGAAUUGACGGGGGCCCGCACAAGCGGUGGAGCAUGUGGUUUAAUUCGAAGCAACGCGAAGAACCUUACCAAAUCUUGACAUCCUUUGACAACUCUAGAGAUAGAGCCUUCCCCUUCGGGGGACAAAGUGACAGGUGGUGCAUGGUUGUCGUCAGCUCGUGUCGUGAGAUGUUGGGUUAAGUCCCGCAACGAGCGCAACCCUUAAGCUUAGUUGCCAUCAUUAAGUUGGGCACUCUAAGUUGACUGCCGGUGACAAACCGGAGGAAGGUGGGGAUGACGUCAAAUCAUCAUGCCCCUUAUGAUUUGGGCUACACACGUGCUACAAUGGACAAUACAAAGGGCAGCGAAACCGCGAGGUCAAGCAAAUCCCAUAAAGUUGUUCUCAGUUCGGAUUGUAGUCUGCAACUCGACUACAUGAAGCUGGAAUCGCUAGUAGUCGUAGAUCAGCAUGCUACGGUGAAUACGUUCCCGGGUCU